rnacentral:misc_RNA from 1 species
GCGAGAUGACCCCUCUGUACUAUUUCUGGAAAUCUCAUGCUCUGAGAUUUCCUUAUCCAACUUCUGAAAACCGUCCGCAGAAUCAUAUGAACCACUAACAUAUUUGAUCAACUGCAGAAACUUGGAUACUUCUUCUAACUGCUCUGAGUCAGUAGUUUUGCCUUGAACAAGAUACCCACGUAUGCGGUUUCUUAGAUCAUCAUCUGAAAUUUUCGACCUCGCAUAGCCAAAAAUGUGAACUUCAUUUGAUUGUAGGAAUCCCUGGACAAAGAGGUGGAAGAGAGCUGGAAAAGUCUUCUUUUUAGCAAGAUCUCCUGAUGCUCCAAGCACAAUAAUCGAGAGACAGCCAGUUUCCGGCACAUUCUCCUCUCCUGUAAAAGAGUCAUUUCGAAGAGAAGAUCUGUUCACAAUGUGCCAUAAUCCAGAGUCCAUCUUUUAAGCUAUGCCUCUUCUGUCCGUCUUUUUCUUGUUCAGAAUGGGGUGGAAAUGAAUGGAGAUUUUAGAGAUUCGGUGGGAUUUUAAACCGUUGUGAUCGCU